rnacentral:rRNA from 1 species
AGUGAACGCUGGCGGUAGGCCUAACACAUGCAAGUCGAACGGCAGCACAGUAAGAGCUUGCUCUUACGGGUGGCGAGUGGCGGACGGGUGAGGAAUACAUCGGAAUCUACUUUUUCGUGGGGGAUAACGUAGGGAAACUUACGCUAAUACCGCAUACGACCUACGGGUGAAAGCAGGGGAUCUUCGGACCUUGCGCGAUUGAAUGAGCCGAUGUCGGAUUGGCUAGUUGGCGGGGUAAAGGCCCACCAAGGCGACGAUCCGUAGCUGGUCUGAGAGGAUGAUCAGCCACACUGGAACUGAGACACGGUCCAGACUCCUACGGGAGGCAGCAGUGGGGAAUAUUGGACAAUGGGCGCAAGCCUGAUCCAGCCAUACCGCGUGGGUGAAGAAGGCCUUCGGGUUGUAAAGCCCUUUUGUUGGGAAAGAAAAGCAGCAAGUUAAUACCCCGCUGUUCUGACGGUACCCAAAGAAUAAGCACCGGCUAACUUCGUG